UACGGGGGGGGCAAGCGUUGUUCGGAAUUACUGGGCGUAAAGGGCGCGUAGGCGGCCUUCUAAGUCAGACGUGAAAUCCCUCGGCUCAACCGAGGAACUGCGUCUGAUACUGGAAGGCUUGAAUCCGGGAGAGGGAUGUGGAAUUCCAGGUGUAGCGGUGAAAUGCGUAGAUAUCUGGAGGAACACCGGUGGCGAAGGCGGCAUUCUGGACCGACAUUGACGCUGAGGAGCGAAAGCCAGGGGAGCAAACGGG
rnacentral:rRNA from 1 species